UAAAGCUCUGUGGGGAGGGAAGAAUAAGGCUUGGCUAAUAUCCAAGUUGAUGACGGUACCUCCUUAGCAAGCACCGGCUAACUCUGUG
rnacentral:rRNA from 1 species